UUUUUUCCUAUUAGUAUUUUUACUAUUAUUGUUGAUUAUUAAUGUUCUAAUUUAUAUGUCCUUAAAUUUUAUGUUCUUAUAUUCCAUUGUGUGUUUGUCAAGUUUCUGAUGUAUUAGUCUUUUUUAGUUUUGGUCACUGUAAGUAUCUUGUAUGCUUGUUUUCGUGUGUUGGCCAAAUGUGGAUGUGCCUACCUUUUGUGGUUUCAACUCAGGUAGAGCUUGCCUACUUUGAUGCUGACGAGAAGGAAUGUCCAUGUACUUGCAGUUACCUCUUGUUCCUGUUUUCGUUUUUUUUUAUGUUUGUAUGUGUCAUGGCGACCGCUAAAGACCUAGGCUCUUGGUAAGCAUGUUACAAACCAAAAUAAAUAAAAAUAGUAAAUUCCGUUUAUUUUUAAAGGCUUUACCGUGUUUUACCUAAUGCAAUUUUUUUCUAUCAAUAUGCCAUAAUUAGUACAAUUGUACUAUCCCGAGCAGCUGGGACGAUGCAUAUAGUUCAUCCUUGCUUGAAGGUAGUGUGGGGGUGUGAUAAUUAAGUGCAAAAACACAAUACGACAAUUUAUGCUGGUAGUGAAGUCGUUUUAUUGACAGUUCUCGUACAACUUCACUUAAAUACACUGUAGGGGAGGCCGGGGUAUUAAGAGACAGGGGUUAUAAGAGACAAGGGCAAAAUGUCACCUUAAAUAUCAAUAAAAAUAAGUUUAAAAAUAUGAAAAAAUUACUUGAACAUCUUUAAUUUAUUAUUACUUACCUGCUUGGUAAUUAUUGUGUUGAUUUUUACUUCAUCAAUGACAUGAAAAAAAAUGUUUACUUUAAACUUAACUUAAAAGUUCGCAACUAUUUUACAAAAAAAAAAAAAAUUGUGUAAAUUUCGUAAGAUUUUUGGAAGUGAUAUGUACAUAGCUUUUUGACUGAGAUUGUGACAUUUGAUAUAGAAUUUUUGAAGUUAUUCAAAACCUUCUUAUUUUGCUAAUUCUGGGCAUGUCUCUUAUAACCCCAAUUUAAGAUUUAGUAGGGGUAAUAAUAGACACUGGUGUCUUAUUACCCCGUCAGAAUUAUUUUCUUUUGUUUAAGGUCUGUUUAUUAGAAAACUAAGUGAACUAACAAUGUAAAAGUGAAAAAAGUGACAACAGUGAAAAGACAAUUUACACAAUGCCAAGACAUUAUAAAAUGAAAAACAUUCAGUGUCAGUUUGACCCUAAGGACAUGAAAAAAGCAAUUUUAGAAGUAAAGAAAGGAGUGCCAAUAAGAGCAGCAGCAGAAAAUUUAAUGUUCCUGUGUCAACUUUAGGCAAACAUUAUAAGAACCAUGAAAAAAAAAUUGGAGGCGGGCGUAAACAAGAAAUCUCAGAAGAUGAAGAAGCAGAUAUGGCAAAAUAUUUAGAAGUGUGUGCAGUUCAUGGGGAAGGGUUAACUAGAAGUGAAACAUUGGAGUUAGUGAAAGAAUAUGUUGAGCACAGCAAAUUGAAUACCAGAUGGCACAACAGUAAACCAUCUUAUGACUGGCUCAAUUUAUUUUUCAAAAGACAUCCUCACCUGAGAAUCAGAAAAGGUAAACAGUUGAGCAACCAACGUGUAAGAGGAGCAGACCCUUUUGUAGUGAAUGAAUGGCUUCUACCAAGAUGUCCAGAAACUGUACGCAAAAGAAAAAAUAACAGAAGCAGACGUAGUUAUGUUUACAAUUGUGAUGAGACCGCAUUUUUACACGAUCCCAGCGAAGUUCGCGUCAUAGCUAAGAAAGGUACGAAAAGAGUUUCGAAGCAUAUAGCAGGAUCAGGCAAAUCAAACACCACUGUACUAGCAUGUUGAGCAGCAGAUGGCACAAAGAUGCCACCAUUCAUAAUCUUCUCGGGAAGGUAUGUAUGGAGUACCUGGAUUCCAAAUGAUGACUAUCCAGGCACAGCAUAUACAGCCCAAAAAAAAAAAAAAAGAAUUGAUGGAGGGCUCCAUUUUCGCAAAUUGGUUUUCCGAAUUGUUUCUGAAGCACAUCCCUUCAAAGGAACAUCACAAUGGCAAGAAAGUAAUCCUUUACUUUGAUGGUGUUGCAUUUCAUGUGAGUUAUUCUCUCAUUAAAAUGGCUUAUGACAAUGAUGUGAUCUUGAUUAAACUCCCACCUAACAUGACACAUUUCAUGCAGCCAUUAGAUUUGACAGUAUUUAAACCCCUGAAAGGAGCUUGGAAUACUCUGAUGGUGCAGUGGAACAGACUUCACCCUGGCACUCUGCUACCCAAAGAAGAGUUUUCCAGAAACAUUAAGAGACUGUGGGACGAACAUUUCCCACCUAGACUUUUGAUUUUUGGAUUUCUUAAUACUGGGCUCUUUUCUACAGACGCAAGCAAAUUUCCUGAGGAGGCCUAUAACCCCAUAAAACUUCAGAGAUUCAAUGUGAUUGAAAAAGCUAAGGCUUCACGAGUUUUACCAAAGACAUCUCCCAGUGCACCUAGACCUCCGCCUGUUUCAACUUCUGUUUUGCCUACGCACAAAUCUACAGUGGAAACUGCAAGUACUCCUUGGCCUGCUUCUCAAAAUGGACCUUCAGCAAAUUCAGAUGUGUCUGAAGCUCUCCAUACUUCAACUGUCCUUGAUUCUGCUAAACAAGAAAGAGAAACAGACAACAUAGAUGAGAUUUUGGCUUCUCCACUUUCAGAAGAAGGUCAACCAGGGUGUUCGUCAUGGUCAGCAGAAGAUCGUGUGCAACAUCAAACCAAAUUUGAGAGUUUCAUUCAGUACAAACUUACUGAAAACAUAAUGAAAUCCACACCGAAAGUAGGCCUAACAGGAAAGAGGAAGAAAGUUUCAGAACAAAAGGGUGAAAUCCUGACAUCAGUGAAGGUCAUGGAAAGGAUUAGAAAGUCUGAGGAAAAUCAAAAUAAAAAGAAUGAGAAGACAGAAAGGAAGAAAUUGGGAAAAAAGCAAGAAAAUGACAAGUCAAAGGCUAAGGUUACAGUACGCAAGAAAUCAGUUAGGCCUAAACGGAAAUCUGCAAAUUCAUCCUCUGAUUCUGAACUUAGUGAUGAUUUACCUAUUGAAACGGAUGAAGACUAGCCAUUACGCCUUGAAGAAUUAUUUUCUUCAUCGGACGACAAUGUGCCUGAAGAAUUUCAUCCAAGUAGUGUUGUUCCUAGACUAGAACUGUACUAUGCUGUGUACUACUAUUUGAACUGGUACAUUGGGUGAGUUAUUGACUUUCCAGAUGAAGGACUUUGUAAGGUUAAGUUCUUGAAAAAAGAACUUAAUGAAUUUAAUUGGCCUCCUCAUGAUGAUAUACAAACAAUAACAUCUAAAUACAUGUUCUACGGACCCAUAAAUUUAAAGGGGAAUGGUCCUUCCCAGGUUACUUGAGGGGAGUUACAAAAAAUGUGUUUGGUGUACAGCAAACUCAAUAAAAGUUUCAAAAAGUAAGCUCAAACUAGGCCUGGGAAACUUAGUGCAAAGUUUUUUAAAAAAGGCAGACUAUUAAUUUUAUAAGCCUAAAUUUUCUAUUGCUAGGUCCUAUCUUUUAAUAUGACUUUCAUUUGACUUAUCAAGUUACAUUAGGCCUAUUAGGCAUGCAGUAUACAGAAUCUUUUUAUUGUAAACUAAGCUAAGUUUAGGUUACAAAAGAGUUUACAAUCUUUUUAGAUGUUUGUUUACUCUUUACUUAUCAUUGACACUAUAAUAGUUAACUGUAAGGUACAAAAUAAUUUUUCAAAUAAAACUGUUCUGUAUUUCAAUGACAAAAUGCCCUAUUUUUAGUAUGUUUUUGGAAUUGUCACAAAAAAUAAAUAUCGAAAGUACUUUUGAUUUUCAUUUGAUAAGCUUAUGUAUUGAUUCUGUACAUUCCUUUGAACCUUUAAAAUGGGGGUUAUUGCUUGUUUGCUAUUUGUUAUUAGCAAAAAUGAAUUUUAGAAACCAUCUUUCAGAAAGCAUUUUUCAUUCUAAUGUAGUUUGAGAACCAGCACAUAUAUUUUUUAUUUCAAAAAAUUGGGAGCUUUAGAAUUUUCUGAAUAUGUCUCUUAUAUCCCCCAAUCAUUUUAUACAGUGUUUCUGUGGACAGUGAAAGGUAUGUCUCUUAUUCCCCCUGAUAGGGUAAUAAGAGACACAGAUUUUAUAAAUUUUCAAAAAAAUAAUUUCACAUUAAAUUGUUAAUGGAAAAAUUUCAAAAUAAUUGAGAAAGAUUCACUUAGUUUGUUGAGUAUGACAUAAUUUUAUCGAAGACAUAGAUUAGAAAUAAAUCUAAUAUAAUUUUUUUUUGUCUCUUAUUACCCCUUGUCUCUCUUUUUACCCCGGCCUCCCCUACGUUUAGACACGGACUUGUACAGACAAACAGUUCCACAGCGUACAGAUGUCGCACACUGCCUGGGAUGCAUUACAGCGAUUCCCCUAAGUCCACGUGACUUCCGGAGAGCACCAUUAAUGAGCUGUCUUACCACGAUGCUCCAAGAGGUGCUUAUUAGCCAUGGGAUGUUUUACCACAAUCCCCCUAGUGGCUACUGCUCCCGGCUCUGCCGGGAGAACUCCCGCAACUGGCCGAGGAGAUCUCUUAUAUAGGCGGCACAGGAGUGCCCCUUGUCCUUACUUGAGGGCCGUGUGCAACGCUUCCCAGGGUUCGUGUGCAACGACUCCCACCAAGAUCCACUCGUCCUUCCCCUGCCUCGUGAGGGGGUUUGACCCUUGUCCUCCGCAGUGCUGUGUGCUCUCUUUAAAAACUCUUAUGGAGGUAUAGUCUGAUAUUUCAAUCUACAUUACAAGAUACAUUACAAUCAUUACAAGAUACAUUACAAUACAUUACAAGAUACACUCUGAUAUUACACAAUGAGUAAAUAUUUUAAAGUACUUAGUACUUAUUUGGCUAUUUAUUUCAUUAGUGUAAUUUUAAAUAGCUGUUAUAUACAUAUACCCAGGUCAUUAGCACAUUAAAAGUUUUUUUUUGUUUAAGAAAAGUUUGAAAGAAUAAAUAAAACAAGAUAAUAAAUUGAAUUUCAGUGUCAUAUUAGCUUGAAAUCCCUUAAGGUCCAUUAUUAUUUUCUUGAUUUAUAUUUUGCUCUCUAUUGUGUAACUUACUUUUUGAUUAAUAACCUCUUGAGACUGGCAGUGAAGUUUUGGGCGAUUUUGGAUUUAAUUCUUGAUAGUUUUAAAUUUGUUACCGGGAAUUGUGUUUGCCGCCCAGUGAAUGUCAGGGACAUGGGUACUUGUUGUGAAGCACACAAGAUCCUACACCAUUGAGAUAAAAUUGGUGCUGGUGUAAUUUUGCUGCCCGCAACAUUUUUACGUCCUUCCCAACUUUGAAUUCUGUUAACUUCUAAGUGCUUAUCACCUGCCAUACAUCGAAGCAUUUCCAGUUCCCUAACUACCAGAGGAAGAGGUCCUGCGUCAGUCAUGUGAUCAGUAAGUAGUUGCGGUGCGAGGCUGUUCGCGAUCCCUCCACCUCUCUGGCCGCUCGGUGCGUUAUCGUUCCUGUUCGUUCUGGGCGCCGAGCUGCUAGGUUCCUCCAAGACCACAGCUAGUAGAAGCGGAGAAUCAGUGAAGCACAGAAGAACGUUACGUCACCGCCUUGACUGCUGUUGUCCUCCAUGCCGCCAUGCUGCCUGAAUCCGCAAUGAUGCCCAAUGCUGGACUUAGCUGCAGAUUGGGGUAAGAGAGAUUGUACCUAUUAAUGAGUUUGGACUUAGCACCAGCGGCCGUGAGGAAGGAAGUGAGUGCUGCAGUGUACGAAGGUAACUCGCUCAACGACUGAUUUACUUAACUCGCCCUGUGAGUUGGUACCCGCUGAACGAGUAAGUUGCAAAAACUCACUGAAUGAUUUUGGGUACAGUAUGUGGUCAAAAUAGCACCUGGUACUUAAUAGACUCGUUGACGAUGUGACACCUUUUACUUGCCGAGUGUGUAGUGAGAAAGUGAGUAAGCCAAGAAUGUUGGUGCAGAGAUCAAUAGCAGUAACGAGCCAGCAACAAGGCAGGCUGGUCAAGUGCAGGCAGGGUACAGACAGUAGUAGAAACAUCAACAAUAACAAUGAUAGAGUUUUAUGUUAAUGCGUGCAGUGGACUCAUGUCCCUUUGGUCAUGUUGACAUGGUGAUGAUAGUGUUACUUCGUUUGCAAAGCAGGACAGGUGUAAAUGAGUGUGCAGAGGUGGAGACUACACUGCUCGCUGGGGAGUCAUGAAAGAAGAAUUGUGGCCAGUCCUUCAUCUAAGUGGUAGAGCCUUCCAGAGGGGCUUCUUGACGAACUCCUGCUAGCUGUUCCUCCCAACGAAGUCAGAGUUGAGUGCUAUGGGGUAAGGAGAGUGCUACUCUGCAGGAAAACGAAUCGCCGCAGACCAGAGAUUGGACGUCUCCUGCAAGACUUGGAGAAUUUCGUCGAAAGCGAGUCCUGGUCAUAUUAGGAAGAUUGUACAUAAGAACAAGAGAACAUGUGUUGUUUCAAACAGUUAUUGUGAAUUUUAUGUAUUUGAUUUAAUUGUUAAUAAAUGUUACUCAAUCAGCA